rnacentral:lncRNA from 1 species
UGAGCACCUGUGGCUGAGCAUGUGGUUCCCGUCUCCUCUGUUCACUGCCGAGGGUGGGCUGCAUUCUGCAUCCACGCAUGUGAGAUGCAACACGCCCAUGUCUCUCUACCUGUUUUUCUUGCUAUAAGUCCGUGCGUGUGCGUGCUCCCUAGCAGGGGAGAGGAGGUCAGAGCAAGAGGGUGAGCAAGAAAAGGGACUGAGAGAAAAGUGCGAGCUUUGUUUUCCUGUAACCUGAGUUUGGAUUUGGGUUUCAUGUGUUCAAUAAAUGUUGGGCGGAACCAAAUGAAAUCACUGAUACUCGGCUCUUGACCUGUAAAGAUGUCGAUUUCCCAGGAUUCCUUCUCAACCGUUGUUAACUAUGCUUUCUUCUGAAGCCAUCCUGGCCCAUCCCUUCCCCCCAGACCCACAGGUGGGCGACUCUUCAUGUUGCUCCUUAGUGUUGAAGGGCGUGGGUCCUCCUGGGUCCCUGCAUCAGGGGGCUCACCUGCUCGGUGGUUGUUGGGGGUGGAGGAUCUCUGGUUCUGGGUUCCUGUGAGAGCAAACAGGUGUUUUCAGUCUGUGCGUCACUGGUUGUGGGCGAGUGCGCGUAGGGGUGUGUGAGCUCAUUUAUGUUUGAGUUGCCAGACACACAAGUUGUGGACCCCAUCUUCCUUGGCACUACGUGGCACAAAGCAGGCCACCCCCAGGAAUUCAGGAGAUGGCAGGUUUGAGGCAAAAGGUCAGAGAAGGAGGGCUGUAGAAGAAAAAAUAACUGCUACAGAGCAAUUAAAACCUGUAUCUCAAGCCGGAUGGCAUGUGCCUGUAGUCCCAGCCACUCAGGAGGCUGAGGUGGGAGGAUCACUUGAGCCAGGAGUUCCAGGCCAACAUGGGACAGAGCCAGCCCUGU